AGUGAACGCUGGCGGUAGGCCUAACACAUGCAAGUCGAACGGCAGCACAGUAAGAGCUUGCUCUUACGGGUUGCGAGUGGCGGACGGGUGAGGAAUACAUCGGAAUCUACUUUUUCGUGGGGGCUAACGUAGGGAAACUUACGCUAAUACCGCAUACGACCUACGGGUGAAAGCAUCGGAUCUUCGGACCUUGCGCGAUUGAAUGAGCCGAUUUCGGAUUAGCUAGUUGGCGGGGUAAAGGCCCACCAAGGCGACGAUCCGUAGCUGGUCUGAGAGGAGGAUCAGCGACACUGGAACUGAGACACGGUCCAGACUCCUACGGGAGGCAGCAGUGGGGAAUAUGGGACAAUGGGCGCAAGCCUGAUCCAGCCAUAGCGCGUGGGUGAAGAAGGCCUUCGGGUUGUAAAGCCCUUUUGUUGGGAAAGAAAAGCAGCAGGUUAAGACGCAGCUGUUGUGACGGUACCCGAAGAAGAAGCACCGGCUAACUUCGUG
rnacentral:rRNA from 1 species